UACGGAGGGUGCAAGCGUUGUCCGGAUUUAUUGGGUUUAAAGGGUGCGUAGGCGGCCCGUUAAGUCAGCGGUGAAAUCCCGGGGCUCAACCCCGGAACUGCCGUUGAUACUGGCGGGCUUGAGUUCGGUCGAGGCGGGCGGAACUGGCGGUGUAGCGGUGAAAUGCUUAGAUACCGCCAAGAACCCCGAUUGCGUAGGCAGCUCGCUUGGCCGAAACUGACACUGAGGCACGAAAGCGUGGGGAGCGAACAGG
rnacentral:rRNA from 1 species